rnacentral:rRNA from 1 species
UAGAGUAUGGGAGAGGGUGGUGGAAUUCCAGGUGUAGCGGUGAAAUGCGUAGAGAUCUGGAGGAACAUCAGUGGCGAAGGCGGCCACCUGGCCCAAUACUGACGCUGAGGCACGAAAGCGUGGGGAGCAAACAGGAUUAGAUACCCUGGUAGUCCACGCCCUAAACGAUGAAUACUAGAUGUUUGGUACCUAGCGUACUGAGUGUCGUAGCUAACGCGAUAAGUAUUCCGCCUGGGAAGUACGGCCGCAAGGUUAAAACUCAAAGGAAUUGACGGGGGGCCCGCACAAGCGGUGGAGCAUGUGGUUUAAUUCGAUGCAACGCGAAGAACCUUACCUGGGCUUGACAUGUCCGGAAUCCUGCAGAGAUGCGGGAGUGCCCUUCGGGGAAUCGGAAC